AUAGAUGUAUGUUAAUGGUAAACUAAAUGUCUUCCACACAUUAAAUAUGAGUUCGAUUCUCAUUGUCUAUA
rnacentral:tRNA from 1 species